rnacentral:ncRNA from 1 species
GUUCAAACGAGGAAAGGCUUACGGUGGAUACCUAGGCACCCAGAGACGAGGAAGGGCGUAGUAAGCGACGAAAUGCUUCGGGGAGUUGAAAAUAAGCGUAGAUCCGGAGAUUCCCGAAUAGGUCAACCUUUCGAACUGCUGCUGAAUCCAUGGGCAGGCAAGAGACAACCUGGCGAACUGAAACAUCUUAGUAGCCGGAGGAAAAGAAAGCAAAAGCGAUUCCCGUAGUAGCGGCGAGCGAAAUGGGAGCAGCCUAAACCGUGAAGCGGGGUGUGGAGAGCAAUAAAGCAGUCGUGCUGCUAGGCGAAGCGGUGAAAGUGCCCGAACCCUGAUGGCUAUAGUCCAGUAGCCGAAAGGCAUCACUAGCUUACGCUCUGA